CAAAGUCAUUACAUUGUCUUAAUUCAUCCCAAUGGUCUCUAACAAUUAUGACGAGAACAAACAUUUGUAAUUCUGCGUGUUCCAUUCUGGCUCUACUCUUUAUCAUAGUAUAUCUCUUUUUAUUAUCGAUUAGGCCAUUGAUGUUUUGAAGACUAAACGAUAAGUUGAUUAUUGUAAACUAACUUGUUUAAAUAACUACAACACAUGUCAAUCCUGACACGAAAGCAAUUGUGUUAAAUAUUGAGUGAUAACCUCUAAAUGACGCGUUGUUGAUACAGUUGUUUCACAAAACAACAUUUUUUAAGGGAGAUCUUUUGUUUUGUUUACCUACUUGCUUCCGUUGAGACAUAACUUGGGAAUGUUAGUAGCUUACCAGUAUUAAUACACAUGGAUAGCUGCUAAAUUAAAUAUUGAGAAAGACCCUAACUGAAGGAAAAGGUGGUACAUAAUAAAAGUAUAAGUUUG
rnacentral:lncRNA from 1 species